rnacentral:rRNA from 1 species
GACGAACGCUGGCGGCGUGCCUAAUACAUGCAAGUCGAACGCUGAAGCUUGGUGCUUGCACCGAGCGGAUGAGUUGCGAACGGGUGAGUAACGCGUAGGUAACCUGCCUGGUAGCGGGGGAUAACUAUUGGAAACGAUAGCUAAUACCGCAUAAGAGUAGAUGUUGCAUGACAUUUGCUUAAAAGGUGCAAUUGCAUCACUACCAGAUGGACCUGCGUUGUAUUAGCUAGUUGGUGAGGUAACGGCUCACCAAGGCAACGAUACAUAGCCGACCUGAGAGGGUGAUCGGCCACACUGGGACUGAGACACGGCCCAGACUCCUACGGGAGGCAGCAGUAGGGAAUCUUCGGCAAUGGACGGAAGUCUGACCGAGCAACGCCGCGUGAGUGAAGAAGGGUUUCGGAUCGUAAAGCUCUGUUGUAAGAGAAGAACGAGUGUGAGAGUGGAAAGUUCACACUGUGACGGUAUCUUACCAGAAAGGGACGGCUAACUACGUG